CGGACGAGGUGUAGUCGGCGUCGUUAAUACGUGUGGGGCAAGGGUUGUUCGGAUUUACUGGGCGUAAAAGGGUCGUAGGCUGCAAUUCAAGUCAGCUGUGAAAUCUCUGAGCUUAACUCAGAACGGUCAGCUGAUACUGUGUUGCUAGAGUGCGGAAGGGGCAAUCGGAAUUCUUGGUGUAGCGGUGAAAUGCGUAGAUAUCAAGAGGAACACCUGAGGUGAAGACGGGUUGCUGGGCCGACACUGACGCUGACAGCGCGAAAGCCAGGGGAGCAAACGGGAUUAGAUACCCGAGUAGUC
rnacentral:rRNA from 1 species